CCUACGGGAGGCAGCAGUGAGGAAUAUUGGUCAAUGGACGAGAGUCUGAACCAGCCAAGCCGCGUGAAGGAUGACUGCUCUAUGGGUUGUAAACUUCUUUUAUAUGGGAAUAAAAUGUUCCACGUGUGGGAUUUUGUAUGUAUCAUAUGAAUAAGGAUCGGCUAACUCCGUGCCAGCAGCCGCGGUAAUACGGAGGAUCCGAGCGUUAUCCGGAUUUAUUGGGUUUAAAGGGAGCGUAGGUGGAUUGUUAAGUCAGUUGUGAAAGUUUGCGGCUCAACCGUGAAAUUGCAGUUGAAACUGGCAGUCUUGAGUACAGUAGAGGUAGGCGGAAUGCGUGGUGUAGCGGUGAAAUGCUUAGAGAUCACGAAGAACACCGAUUGCGAAGGCAGCUCACUGGACUGCAACUGACGCUGAGGCUCGAAAGUGUGGGUAGCAAACAGGAUUAGAUACCCGAGUAGUC
rnacentral:rRNA from 1 species